UACCAUCCCAGUUCGGAUUGCAGUCUGCAACUCGACUGCAUGAAGCUGGAAUCGCUAGUAAUCGCGGAUCAGAAUGCCGCGGUGAAUACGUUCCCGGGUCUUAUACACACCGCCCGUCACACCAUGGGAGUCGGAUAUGCCCGAAGUCAGUGACCCAACCGCAAGGAGGGAGCUGCCGAAGGUGGAGCCGAUGACUGGGGUGAAGUCGUAACAAGGUAAC
rnacentral:rRNA from 1 species